rnacentral:misc_RNA from 1 species
AAGUCGUAACAAGGUUUCCGUAGGUGAACCUGCGGAAGGAUCAUUAACACAUUGUCCAUUUGAUGAUAGUGAUUGUCUUUUAUUCUGAGUGUCAUAAUUCGGAUGAAGCAGUCCUAUCAUUCAAACCACUUAGCGAAUGAGUUGAAGUCCUCAUUAUUAAUUAACUUUAAUAAUUUAGUGGAAUAAAACUAUGUAAUCACGUUUAAUGAAUUUAGAAAUAAAUUCAUUCGACUAAUGUUUACUUUAAAAAAACAAAAUAUAACCAAGACAACUUGUAACAGUGGAUACCUUGGUUCCCAG